rfam:Parcubacteria bacterium GW2011_GWC1_38_17 TS79_C0005, whole genome shotgun sequence.
GCCAGUGUAGCUCAGUCGGCAGAGCAAUGCUUUCGUAAAGCAGAGGUCGCCGGUUCGAUUCCGGCCACUGGCU